UGUGGGAGCUGGCUUGCCUGCGAUGGCGGCAAGUCAGCUUGCACUUCUGUUGACUGACAGACCGCUAUCGCAGGCAAGCCAGCUCCCACA
rnacentral:antisense_RNA from 1 species